GACGGAGGGCGCUAGCGUUGUUCGGAAUCACUGGGCGUAAAGGGCGCGUAGGCGGCGCCGCAAGUCGGCUGUGAAAGCCCGGGGCCCAACCCCGGAGGUGCAGCCGAGACUGUGGUGCUGGAGGCCGGAAGAGGAGGGUGGAAUACCCAGUGUAGAGGUGAAAUUCGUAGAUAUUGGGUGGAACACCGGUGGCGAAAGCGGCUCUCUGGCCCGGUCCUGACGCUGAGGCGCGAAAGCGUGGGGAGCAAACAGG
rnacentral:rRNA from 1 species